UACGUAGGGGGCAAGCGUUGUCCGGAUUUAUUGGGCGUAAAGAGCGUGUAGGCGGCUAGGUAGGUCCGUUGUGAAAACUCGAGGCUCAACCUCGAGACGCCGAUGGAAACCAUCUAGCUAGAGUCCGGAAGAGGAGAGUGGAAUUCCUGGUGUAGCGGUGAAAUGCGUAGAUAUCGUAAGGAAGACCAGUGGCGAAGGCGGGUCUCUGGACAGUUCCUGACGCUGAGGCACGAAGGCCAGGGGAGCAAACGGG
rnacentral:rRNA from 1 species